GACGAACGCUGGCGGCGCGCCUAACACAUGCAAGUCGAACGAGCGAGAGAGAGCUUGCUUUCUCGAGCGAGUGGCGAACGGGUGAGUAACGCGUGAGGAACCUGCCUCAAAGAGGGGGACAACAGUUGGAAACGACUGCUAAUACCGCAUAAGCCCACGGCUCGGCAUCGAGCAGGGGGAAAAGGAGCAAUCCGCUUUGAGAUGGCCUCGCGUCCGAUUAGCUAGUUGGUGGGGUAACGGCCCACCAAGGCGACGAUCGGUAGCCGGACUGAGAGGUUGAACGGCCACAUUGGGACUGAGACACGGCCCAGACUCCUACGGGAGGCAGCAGUGGGGAAUAUUGCACAAUGGGGGAAACCCUGAUGCAGCGACGCCGCGUGGAGGAAGAAGGUCUUCGGAUUGUAAACUCCUGUUGUUGGGGAAGAUAAUGACGGUACCCAACAAGGAAGUGACGGCUAACUACGU
rnacentral:rRNA from 1 species